rnacentral:sRNA from 1 species
UCACCUGAUUGUAGCUGCCUCUUGUGCGC